GGACAGGUGGUGCAUGGUUGUCGUCAGCUCGUGUCGUGAGAUGUUGGGUUAAAGUCCCGCAACGAGCGCAACCCCUAUUGCUAGUUACCAUCAUUAAGUUGGGCACUCUAAGGAGACUGCCGGUGACAAACCGGAGGAAGGUGGGGAUGACGUCAAGUCAUCAUGGCCCUUACGGCCUGGGCUACACACGUGCUACAAUGGUCGGUACAAAGGGUUGCCAAGCCGCGAGGUGGAGCUAAUCCCAUAAAACCGAUCGUAGUCCGGAUCGCAGUCUGCAACUCGACUGCGUGAAGUCGGAAUCGCUAGUAAUCGUGAAUCCAGAAUGUACAACGGUGAAUACGUUCCCGGGCCUUG
rnacentral:rRNA from 1 species